AGCGGCAGCUUACACAUGCAAGUCGAGCGGUAACAGGUCUAGCUUGCUAGACGCUGACGAGCGGCGGACGGGUGAGUAAUGCAUAGGAAUCUGCCCGAUAGUGGGGGAUAACCUGGGGAAACCCAGGCUAAUACCGCAUACGUCCUACGGGAGAAAGGGGGCUUCGGCUCGCGCUAUCGGAUGAGCCUAUGUCGGAUUAGCUAGUUGGUGGGGUAAUGGCCCACCAAGGCGACGAUCCGUAGCUGGUCUGAGAGGAUGAUCAGCCACAUCGGGACUGAGACACGGCCCGAACUCCUACGGGAGGCAGCAGUGGGGAAUAUUGGACAAUGGGGGCAACCCUGAUCCAGCCAUGCCGCGUGUGUGAAGAAGGCCUUCGGGUUGUAAAGCACUUUCAGCGAGGAAGAACGCCAGGGAAUUAAUACCUCCCUGGAAAGACAUCACUCGCAGAAGAAGCACCGGCUAACUCCGUGCCAGCAGCCGCGGUAAUACGGAGGGUGCAAGCGUUAAUCGGAAUUACUGGGCGUAAAGCGCGCGUAGGUGGCUUGAUAAGCCGGUUGUGAAAGCCCCGGGCUCAACCUGGGAACGGCAUCCGGAACUGUC
rnacentral:rRNA from 1 species